GGAUCUCUCUGUUCAGUGCAGGCUGGCCUUGAGCUCACUUUGUAGCCCAGGCUGGUCUUGAACUCACAACGAUCCUCCUGCCUCAGCCUCCCGAGUGCUGGGAUUACAGGCAUGAGCCACCACGCCCG
rnacentral:miRNA from 1 species